rnacentral:rRNA from 1 species
GACGAACGCUGGCGGCAUGCCUAACACAUGCAAGUCGAAGGAGAAUCAGAGAGCUUGCUCUUUGAGGACACUGGCGCACGGGUGAGUAUCGCGUAGAUAAUCUGCCUCUAGCACUGGGAUAACAGGUCUAACGGCCUGCUAAUACCAGAUGAUGCAGCGGAACGGCAUCGUUAUGUUGUUAAAGCCUUCGGGCGGCUAGAGAUGAAUCUGCGUCCCAUUAGGUAGUUGGUAGGGUAAUGGCCUACCAAGCCGACGAUGGGUAGCUGGUCUGAGAGGAUGAUCAGCCACAUUGGGACUGAGACACGGCCCAG